rnacentral:rRNA from 1 species
UACGUAGGGGGGCAAGCGUUGUCCGGAAUCAUUGGGCGUAAAGCGCGUGUAGGCGGCUCGAUAAGUCUGCUGUGAAAGUCCAGGGCUCAACCCUGGGAUGCCGGUGGAUACUGUCGAGCUCGAGUCCGGAAGAGGCGAGUGGAAUCCUGGUGUAGCGGUGAAAUGCGCAGAUAUCAGGAGGAACACCAAUGGCGAAGGCAGCUCGCUGGGACGUGACUGACGCUGAGACGCGAAGCGUGGGAGCAAACAG